rnacentral:rRNA from 1 species
UACAGAGGGUGCGAGCGUUAAUCGGAUUUACUGGGCGUAAAGCGUGCGUAGGUGGUUACGAAAGUCGGGUGUGAAAGCCCUGGGCUCAACCUGGGAAUGCCAUUCGAUACUUCGUGACUAGAGUUCGGUAGAGGGCGGCGGAACUCCAGGUGUAGCGGUGAAAUGCGUAGAUAUCUGGAAGAACACCGAUGGCGAAGGCAACCGCCUGGGCCUGAACUGACACUGAGGCACGAAAGCGUGGGGAGCAAACAGG